rnacentral:rRNA from 1 species
CCCUCCCUCUUCCUUCCGGCCUAACACAUGCAAGUCGAGCGCCCUUUCGGGGGAGCGGCGGUCGGGUGAGUACCGCGUGGGAAUAUGCCCUUCUCUACGGAAUAGCCUCGGGAAACUGAGAGUAAUACCGUAUACGCCCUGUGGGGUAAAGAUUUAUCGGGGAAGGAUUAGCCCGCGUUGGAUUAGGUAGUUGGUGGGGUAAUGGCCUACCAAGCCGACGAUCCAUAGCUGGUUUGAGAGGAUGAUCAGCCACACUGGGACUGAGACACGGCCCAGACUCCUACGGGAGGCAGCAGUGGGGAAUCUUAGACAAUGGGGGCAACACUGAUCUAGCCAUGCCGCGUGAGUGAUGAAGGCCUUAGGGUUGUAAAGCUCUUUCAGCUGGGAAGAUAAUGACGGUACCAGCAGAAGAAGCCCCGGCUAACUCCGUG